AGGUUAAGUUAACAAGGGCGCAUGGUGAAUGCCUUGGCACUAGGAGCCGAUGAAGGACGGGACUAACACCGAUAUGCUUCGGGGAGCUGUACGUAAGCUAUGAUCCGGAGAUUUCCGAAUGGGGCAACCCAGCAGUUUUAAUCAACUGUUACCACUAGAUGAAUUCAUAGUCUAGUUGGAGGUAAACGCUGUGAACUGAAACAUCUCAUUAGCAGCAGGAAUAUAAAGAAAUUUCGAUUCCCUAAGUAGCGGCGAGCGAACGGGGAACAGCCCAAACCAAAGUGCUUGCACUUUGGGGUUGUAGGACUGAACAUUUGAGUUACCAAAGAACUUGAUAGUCGAAGGAUUUGGGAAAAUCCGCCAUAGAUGGUGAUAGCCCAGUAGAUUAAAUCAAAUUCUCUCAGUUCAGGAUCCUGAGUACGGCGGAACACGUGAAAUUCCGUCGGAAUCCGGGAGGACCAUCUCCCAAGGCUAAAUACUACCUAGUGACCGAUAGUGAACCAGUACCGUGAGGGAAAGGUGAAAAGCACCCCGGGAGGGGAGUGAAAUAGUUCCUGAAACCAUGUGCCUACAAUAAGUCAGAGCGCGUUAAUGCGUGAUGGCGUGCCUUUUGUAGAAUGAACCGGCGAGUUAUGAUCCCGUGCAAGGUUAAGACUAAAAAGUCGGAGCCGUAGCGAAAGCGAGUCUGAAAUGGGCGUUUUGAGUACGAGGUUAUAGACCCGAAACCAGGUGACCUAUCCAUGUCCAGGUUGAAGGUGCGGUAAAACGCACUGGAGGACCGAACCCGUGUAAGUUGAAAAUUGCUGGGAUGAGGUGUGGAUAGCGGUGAAAUUCCAAACGAACUUGGAGAUAGCUGGUUCUCUCCGAAAUAGCUUUAGGGCUAGCCUCGGAAUUAGGAUCAUGGAGGUAGAGCACUAUUUGGACUAGGGGCCCGUCUUGGGUUACUGAAUUCAGAUAAACUCCGAAUGCCAUUGAUUCAUAUCCGGGAGUCAGACGAUGAGUGAUAAGAUCCACCGUCGAAAGGGGAACAGCCCAGACCAUCAGUUAAGGUCCCUAAAUGUAUGCUAAGUGGAAAAGGAUGUGGAGUUGCAUAGACAACUAGGAUGUUGGCUCAGAAGCAGCCACCAUUUAAAGAGUGCGUAAUAGCUCACUAGUCGAGUGAUCCUGCGCCGAAAAUGUACCGGGGCUAAGCAUACUACCGAAACCAUGGAUGCGACCAUUAGGUCGCGUGAUAGGAGAGCGUUCUAAGGGCGGUGAAGCAAGAUCGUGAGGACUUGUGGAGCGCUUAGAAGUGAGAAUGCCGGUAUGAGUAGCGAAAGAUAGGUGAGAAUCCUAUCCACCGAAUGACUAAGGUUUCCUGGGGAAGGCUCGUCCUCCCAGGGUUAGUCGGGACCUAAGUCGAGGCCGAGAGGCGUAGACGAUGGAUAACAGGUUGAGAUUCCUGUACUAGUUAAGUGCGUUUGAGCAAUGGAGGGACGCAGGAGGCUAAGAUGUGCAUUCUGUUGGAUUAGAAUGUCCAAGCAGUAAGUCUUGUGAAGAGUCAAAUGCUUUUCACUUUAAGGACAAGCUGUGAUGGGGAGCGAAAUUUAGUAGCGAAGCGUCUGAUGUCGCACUGCCGAGAAAAGCUUCUAGUGAGUACUUAACUACCCGUACCGCAAACCGACACAGGUAGUCGAGGAGAGAAUCCUAAGGUGAGCGAGUGAACUCUCGUUAAGGAACUCGGCAAAAUGACCCCGUAACUUCGGGAGAAGGGGUGCUGAUCGCAAGAUCAGCCGCAGUGAAUAGGCCCAGGCGACUGUUUAUCAAAAACACAGGUCUCUGCAAAAUCGUAAGAUGACGUAUAGGGGCUGACGCCUGCCCGGUGCUGGAAGGUUAAAAGGAUGGGUUAGCUUCGGCGAAGCUCAGAAUUGAAGCCCCAGUAAACGGCGGCCGUAACUAUAACGGUCCUAAGGUAGCGAAAUUCCUUGUCGGGUAAGUUCCGACCCGCACGAAAGGCGUAACGAUCUGGGCACUGUCUCAACGAGAGACUCGGUGAAAUUAUAUUGUCCGUGAAGAUGCGGACUACCCGCGACAGGACGGAAAGACCCCAUGGAGCUUUACUGUAGCUUGAUAUUGAGUGUUUGUACAGCUUGUACAGGAUAGGUAGGAGCCAUAGAAACCGGAACGCUAGUUUCGGUGGAGGCGUUGGUGGGAUACUACCCUCGCUGUAUGACCACUCUAACCCGCACCACUAAUCGUGGUGGGAGACAGUGUCAGGUGGGCAGUUUGACUGGGGCGGUCGCCUCCUAAAAAGUAACGGAGGCGCCCAAAGGUUCCCUCAGAAUGGUUGGAAAUCAUUCGCAGAGUGUAAAGGCACAAGGGAGCUUGACUGCGAGACAGACAGGUCGAGCAGGGACGAAAGUCGGGCUUAGUGAUCCGGUGGUACCGUAUGGAAGGGCCAUCGCUCAACGGAUAAAAGCUACCCUGGGGAUAACAGGCUUAUCUCCCCCAAGAGUCCACAUCGACGGGGAGGUUUGGCACCUCGAUGUCGGCUCAUCGCAUCCUGGGGCUGUAGUCGGUCCCAAGGGUUGGGCUGUUCGCCCAUUAAAGCGGUACGCGAGCUGGGUUCAGAACGUCGUGAGACAGUUCGGUCCCUAUCCGUCGCGGGCGUAGGAAAUUUGAGAGGACCUGUCCUUAGUACGAGAGGACCGGGAUGGACAUACCUCUGGUGUACCAGUUGUGCCGCCAGGCGCAUCGCUGGGUAGCUACGUAUGGAUGUGAUAAACGCUGAAAGCAUCUAAGUGUGAAACACACCUCGAGAUGAGAUUUCCCAUUCCUUUAUGGAAGUAAGACCCCUGAAAGAUGAUCAGGUAGAUAGGUUAGAAGUGGCAGUGCGGUGACGCAUGAAGCGGACUAAUACUAAUCGGUCGAGGACUUAACCAAG
rnacentral:rRNA from 2 species